rnacentral:lncRNA from 1 species
GCGUCAUUCACUUUCCCCAAUUCUCUCAACCUCCCUUCCCCUGCUACUGCCGACAGUAAAGUUUCCUUGCUGUAGAUCUCUGUGCGUUGCUCAUUAACCCAAAUCUCCUUUCUUGUGAGGAGACCAAAGGCUUGUUGCGCCUCUUCAAGCUACCUGGGUUCCCCUUGUUUUGCCGAGCGUAGAGUCCUGUUGCUGUCGAUCUACGUGCGUUGCUCACUUUCCCUAAAUCUCCCUUGUUGGGUCGAGAGCAGAGGGUUGUUGCUGCCAAUCUCCAUGCGUUGCUCAGUUUCUCAAAAUCUUUGUACUUUGCAUCCACCUCUUGUGCUGAGAGCUGAGCCUAUUUGCUGCUAAUCUUGGACCGGAUCUUUGGUGAGUUCUUGCUGCACUUUUUCUGGGAUUUUUUGUAGCACUUGAAACUUGGUAAAUGCAAUGGCUUGAGUGCUUAAGGCUGGUUCUGGAAUUUUUGAUUUGUACUGUUUUGGAAAAUUUUUACACUGCAACAUGUUUUCCAACGUAUGAUUCACACUUGGUUAACUAUUGUUUCUUAUGAUUUUUUUCCUCAAUUAACACCUCAUAAAUCUUUUUUUCUUUCAAUUAAGUACCUUAUGAAUAACUUUUACUUUCAAAAGAAUUAAACUGUUAAUUUCACUAGCAUUAUCGAAAUAGCCUCAAUUCAUAGGAACCUAAAAAAGCAUGUGUAGGUUACUUUAUGCAAGCCUUAUCGAAACAUCUGAUUUUGUACCAGACUUACCUGCACUAUACUACCAACUGGAUAGUUUUUGUAUACUUUUAACAUGAAAUAAAUUUUGGCUUUGCUUUUUAAAUAAAAUUAAAACAUCAAUUCAAAAUUAAUUUAGAUGUUUAUAUAUAAAGUUAUUUUUUUGUUAUUUUAUUAAAUAAAUUAAACAACUUAUCCCUUUAUUGAAACUUAGAUAAUCAAUUUUUUCAUUGGAGAAUUCAAGUUGCAAGAUGCUGACAGGAACCAAUGCUAGAACAUGUCUCUGAUGAACUCGAUCAAAACAGUGAUUGGCAUUUGUCUUGCAUGCUUCAAGCAUGAGUUAACACAUUCCGCAAUGUUGGAUGUCAUUGUUGGCUCUAUUAGUUUUUGAUGAUAAUAAAACAUUUUCAUUUAUGUGUGUCUAAUACCUUUACUUGAGUGUGCAGGAAAGUAAUUUGUGAAAUUAAUUUAUCGACUCUUCAAAGAGUAUUUUGGAAAAAAAAAAGGGAUAAAAUCAACAAGAUGUAACUAAAUAAUAAAGAGGAAGCUUAUUGGUGAAACAACGAAGAACAUUGGUUGACUAAAUUUUAAAUUGGAGAAAUGACGAGCUCAAGAGUUAGAGAAACAGAAUCAAUUUAGUUAACCAAGUUAGUCGACUAAGUGCUCUCUAUCAGAAUCUGCAAACCAGAAACAGAAUCAACUUAGUCAACCAAGUUAGUCGACUAAGAGCUAUCUGUUUGCCAUUUGAAUCAGAGCACUACAAGACAAAUUAACGGUUAGAACUCAUCCUCAACUGUUUCCAACAUAUAUAAACUGUCAAACUGCCAUCAGAGUUGCAUCUCCAAGUAUAAAAGGGUCUUCCAACAAUAAGAAAGAAGUUUUUUGAAGCCUUGAAUGAGUUUUGAGCUAUAAAAAGAAGAAAAAUCAGAAAAGCUUCACUGCACUUGUCUGCACUUAAACGCUUACUCUUUGCAUUUGUAUUUAGCACUCAAUCUUGUACCAAUCUAAUCAAGAAGUGAUCAUAGAUACUUUCUUUUACUACUUCUCUUGUAUUCUUAGAGUGAAGGAGUUAUUCUAAGGGGUUGUUCAAGCUUGGGAUAGCUUGAUUGUUAAAGGUUGUGGUUGAGUUUUGGAAAAUCACAUUGGGUUUUAGUUGAGCUCAUGAAAAACUACUAUAAAAGGUUUUUGGCUGAGCCUGGUAAAAGUCAUUAUAAAGCUUGGUGAAAGCUUGUGAAUUUCACCGGUCCAUAAUGGAUUUAUGGGAAAAUCCUUAGUUGGAUAAUCAAGGUAGUGGAUGUAGGUCUUGGAUCGAACCAUUAUAAAUUGUUGUGCAUUGUAUACUUUGUUUUUAUUUUCUUAUUUUGGAAAUUUGUUUCCAAUCUUGUCAAGAGCCGAUUUGUGCUAUUCACCCCCCCUUUGGCACAUAUUAUAGAGACCAACAAUUGGUAUCAAAGUUAGUUCCUUGUUUUUAAGGCUUAACAACCUUUGGGAGGAUCCAAAUGGCUCAACAAAAAAUCAUAGUUGUUGAGGGACAAUCAACAAACAGACCACCUUUGUUUGAUGGCUCUAAUUACCUCUAUUGGAGCACUAGAAUGUCAAUUUAUAUUAGGGCUAUAAAUUAUGAAAUGUGGGAUGUCAUAACUGAUGGACCCUUUAUGCCCUCAACCGUGAAUGUAGUUAUAAAUGAGUUGAUGCCCAAGCUAAGGUUUGAAUGGACUGAGGCUGAAACUAAGAAAGUUCAAAUAAAUUUUAAGGCCAUCAACACAUUACAUUGUGCCUUAACCCCCACUGAAUUUAACAAAGUUUCAAGUUGUACAAUAGCUAAACAAGUGUGGGAGAAACUUAGGAUAAUCCAUGAAGGGACUUCCCAAGUCAAAGAGUCCCAAAUUGCUUUCUUAACACAUAGUUAUGAAAUGUUCAAAAUGAAGCAUGGUGAAGACAUCACCAGCAUGUUUUUCUUACUCAUGAGCUGGAGCUUAAGGAAGAAGAAAAAGAAGACUGAAUGGAAGCAAAGGAAAAGAAAAAGAGUAUUGCAUUUAAAGCCAGCAUUCUUGAAGAAGAGCUAGAAGAGCUUUCCUAUGAUGAUGAUGAAGAAUUAGCUCUAGUUGCAAGGAAAUUCAGAAAGCUAAUGAGCAGAAGAAAUCAAAGGGUAACUAGAAGAGGUUUCAAGAAAGACCAAGAUGCUUCAUGGAAAAUAAGGAACAAAAAUGACUCUAACAAAAAGGAAGAGAUGAUCUACUACGAAUGCAAGAAACCUGGUCACUUCAAGUCCGAGUGUCCAUUGUUAAAAGAUGAAACCCCUUAGAAAAAUAAGAAAUCCAAGAAAGCAAUGGUGGUUGCUGCAUGGUCGGACAAUGACACAUCAAGCUCUGAAACUGAUGAUGAAAAAUCUGAGGAAAGAGCAAACAUCUGUUUAAUGGCACAAGAGGAUGAAACAGAGGUACCCUCAUCCCCCUACAUUAAUUCUUAUGAUGAUUUACAAGAUGAGUAUGAGUGUUUUUAUGAUGAAUUUGAAAAGCUUUUUUCAAAAUAUAAAUCAUUAAAGAAAAAGGCUACAUUUUUUGAAAAUGAUUUGGAGCAAAUCAAACAAGAGUUUACUUCUGUUCUUGAGCAAAGAAAUAUUUUACAAAUUGAGUUAGAACACUCAAAAACAGACUUUGAGGUUUUAAAACUAGAGCUGGAAAACAAGUCUAAAGCUUUGCAAAUAACUCUUGAUGAAAAUACAGCUUUUAAAUAUUUAAAAAAUGAAUCCUCAAAAAGAGAUGUAUAUCGGGAUAAAAAUUUAGCUAAAGCAUUACCUAGAUGUUAUAUGUAAAACCCGACUCUAUAAACACAUGUCAUGACAUACAUGCACUGAGUAGCAUGUUAUUACGCUAGGAAAGUUCCUAAGAAUAAAUGAAAUUCGGUAUUGUACCUAACGAUACACUUGAGUUGAUUUAACCUCGAACUAGUUCAAAUAGGAAUCGUAGGAUGAAAUUUAAUAUUUUAUAGUCAAGGAAUGACUAAAAAUGAUUGUUCGGAGUUCGAGGGUUCAUUAGGGGUAAAAUUGAAAAUUUUGAUGUUUAGGGGUAAAAUCAUUUUGCCACUUAAGAUAAUAAUUUGAUAAUGGAGUGAAAUUUUUGACCAAGAUUAACUAUUUGGAGUAUAAUUUAAUGAUAGGAAGUAAAAAAGUUUAAUUCUGGUGAUUUUUGGAGUGUAGGGGUAAAAUUGUAAUUUUACCACUUGCGGACAAAAUUUGAGAUUUUGAGAGAAUUUAGAUCAAAUUUGACAAUUGGAGAAUGGUAUGAGUAUAAAAGAUGAAAAAUAUGUCUGGGUAAUUUUUCAGUUUUUUGAGUAAAAAUAUAAUUUUUCACUUUUACGAGGGCAAAAGUGUAAAUUUCAAAAAUUACUCCACCGAGACUUUGGAUAAGUCUGAGAAUUUUAUCUAAGCUAUGGAUAUAUGAGACAAGUGUAUGGUGAAAAUUUGAAAACAAAUGGAUGAAAUUUUAAAAAUGGGCCAAUGAGAAAGUGACACGUGGUAUUUUUUUAAUAAUAUAAUAUUAUUUUAAUGAAAAAUUAGCCCAUUUAAACCCCAUUUUAAGUGUUGGCUGGCCAUAAGGGAGAACAAGAGAGAAAAUAGAGGAAAGGAAGAAAAAAAGAAAAACCAAAGAGAAACAAGAAAAUUCAAAGGGAAAUUCGUAUUUUUUGCCAGUUUACGCGUUUAACGGUAAGAUUUGUCGACUUUAGCUUGAUUCCUACCUUUUUUAUGCUUUUGUUUCCAUUUAGCAUGCUUGAGGAGAGAGAUCUAAAGGUGACAUCAAGGGCUGUACGAAAUUCUAAGGAUGAGAUUUUGAAAUUUUUAAGUUUUGAUUUUUAGUUAAAUUGGUAGUUUCAGUUAGUUAAAUGUGUUUAAAAAUUAAAUUGGGCAAGAAAGCAUUAAAUUUUCACAAUACCCACCCUUGGCCGAAUCUGCAAUGAGGUACAAUAAUGAUGAUCUGAUUUUUAUUCUAAGAAAAAUGAAGAGAAAAUGAUGAAAAAUGGUUAAAUGUGAUAGAAAAAUAAAGUAAAAAAUUUAUCGAGUUAAUGUCCCAUUUUUGGCUGAAUUUUUCAAGGAGGACAGUGAACUGAUUUUGGUGAUUUUAGAAGGUUAUUGGCUGAUAUUUAAUGGUUAGAAAUGUUGGAGAGAGAAUGGAAUGAUUUAGAGGUAAAAUGUAACGCGUUAGCAAUUUAUUGGGUAAAGUGCCAAAAAUAGGUUAAUAUCACGUUUAAGCAAUUUUUGGCUAUUGCAUUUCAUACCAUGCAUUAGUAUAGGAUUUAAGUCAAAUAUAUAGUGUUUUAGCAUUAAUGUGAUGAAUUGAGUAAAUUUUUGCAAUGUGUCUAGGAGGAGAGCCUUCCGGUAAAGGCAAGAAAAUCAUACCCGAAUAGUUAUCGGGCACCUAAAAAGUAAUUAGUUUGUACAAACGGUGAGUAAAUCUAUUAUUAUUGUGAAUUAUCUAGAGUUAUUUUAAAAAUGCUCUUUAUGUAUUUUAUGAAACGAAAAUGAGAUUAAAACAAGAUUUUUGAUAUUUUAGAAAUAAAUGUGACAAAAAAAAAAUAUUGUGUUGAUUAUGAAAUUAAGUAAUUGGAGGUUGUUAACUGUCUUGAAAAUUAUAUAUUUUUCUAUGAAUGGCUUAUGAGAUAUAAAUAUAUGUGGCUAUAUUUUGUAAGUGCAUUGAAAAAUUUAUGUAAGCUAUUUUUACUAUGCAGGCUGGAUAAAUAAAUAAAAGUCACGUUAUAUUGUCAAAAUUUUAUUAAAAUUGGUGGGUUAGACACUGCAGUGACGGGUUUUCAUGGAUUGUCUAUUAGAGGGGUACGGUAAACUCUGUUAUAUAGUUACUCCAGUUGUAGAGGCAAGGAGGGUAACUCCCGAGGUAGUAUUAGAGCUCACUUCACGUCGAAUCCCCACGUGAAUGUGUAACUCGGCCAACGUCAGGGAAUGACUUGUUUUAAAAAUAAAAAUGUGUUUAACAUGUAAAUGUUAUAACAACCUUGGCUGAUUCAGUUAGAUGCCUCGGUCAAGGUAUUUCCGAAGAUUAGUUUUGGCUUGAGCCUUGUUUUCUUUUAUAAAAGACAUAAGCCUUAAUAACUGUUUUUGUAAAUUACAAAUAUUUUAUGAUUUAAGAAAUAAAUUGAAAACAUUAUGAAAUGGUUUGUGAUUUGUUGUUUAAACUUGCUUCCCUGUUACUCGCCUUUAAAUAUUUAUGAUAAUGUCUGUUUACUCAUUGGGAUUGCAAAAUCUCACCCACCUCCUUUCCAAAUAUUUCAGGCCUGUGGUAGCUUGUAGAUACCCGAUUUUGUCGAGGAUUUCAGUUGAUCCCUCUAUCACACAGACAGUAGGUUACUAUCGCCAACACUUACUGUAUUUAUGGGUCACUUGUCAUUGUAAUUAUUAUUGUACAUUAUAACUUUGUAAAUUAUUGUAUGUAUGAAUUUAUUUUACUUCUAAGUUACAAAAGAUUACUUACACGUGUUUCUAUAAAUAUUGUUUUAUAUAAAAAUGCUAUAUUUUUUUCUUUGAUUUACUUGAGUCGGAAACGAUUGAAAAUUGUUUAAAACUGAUAUGUAAGCCUUGCGGGGUUCCGAUUGGUAUUUCGAGUAUUGAGUAUCAAUCAGGACGUCGUGGCGGUUGUCAUGGGCCCGAGGGAGGUUUCGGGUCAUGACAUUAUAAUUAUGGUAAACAUGGUCAUUUAUCAUAUGAGUAUUUUAAGAAAAGAACAGAGCAGAAAGUUAAGAAAUGUGGGUUGCUAAGGGAUCCUUUAUUGCUACUAACACUCAAGGACCCAUCAAAGUAUGAGUACCUACAAAGAAAAAUUGAAAUUCUGUUUUGUAGGUUGAGUUGAACUUAAAAGAGACAUGUUCAAAAGCUCAACUAAAAAAAAAACAGUCUUGGUACUUGGAGAGUGGCUGUUCACGGCACAUGACAGGACAUAAAAUGCUGUUUGCUCAACUAGAUAAGAGAAAGGGAGGAACCGUAUCCUUUAGAGAUGAUUCAAAAGGAAGAAUUCAUGGUAUAGGUACGAUUGGUAAGAAUUUCCAAACUCAAAUUAGUCAUGUGUUGCUGGUUAAAGGCUUAAAGCAUAAUUUACUAAGUAUUAGUCAAUUAUGUGAUAAAGGAUUUAGAGUGUGCUUUAAUUCAACUAAGUGUGAAGUGAUAGACAUGGGUACAAAUAAAAUCUCAUUUAUAGGAAAUAGAUUGAAGAAUAUGAAUGUAAUUUUUCUUGAAGAUCUUGAAGUAAAUAGUGAAGUAUGUCUUAUUGCAAAUGUUGAAAAUGAUAGUUGGCUAUGGCAUAACAGAUUACAUGUGAGCAUGAAUACUAUGUCAAAAUUAAUUAAGAAAAAUCUUGUUAUUGGACUGCCUGAGUUAAAAUUUGAAAAUGAUAAGAUAUGUGAUGCUUGCCAACUAGGAAAACAAGUUAGGACAUCCUUCAAGUCUAAGAAAAUUGUGUCAACAUCUAGACUUCUUGAAUUGCUUCAUAUUGAUCUAUUUGGUCCAAUAAGCACAACUAGCUUAGGAGAAAAAUCUUAUAGCUUUGUUAUAAUUGAUGACUAUUCUAAAUAUGCUUGGGUGUAUUUUCUUGCUUAUAAGAAUGAUGCUCUACAAGCAUUCUUAAGUCAUUGUAAGAAAGUAGAAAAUGAAAAAAGACUUGCCAUAGUUAGCAUAAGAAGUGAUCAUGGAGGAGAAUUUGAAAAUGAUGAGUUUGAAAAGUUUUGCAAUGAAAAGGGGUUGGAUCACAAUUUUUUUGCACCUAGAAUACCCCAGCAAAAUGGAGUUGUAGAGAGGAAAAAUCGAACCUUGAAAGAAAUGGCUAGGAUCAUGCUAUGUGAAAACAACCUACCUAAAUAUCUUUGGGUUGAGGCAGUAAAUACAACAGCUUAUAUAUCAAGCCCAACUUUAUAAUAUAUUUUCCAUAUUGUAUAGGUACUUGAUAAAAUGUCUGCAUACUUGAAUGCCUCAAAAAUCGUUAAAAGACGAUAUUGUACCUAAUGGUACAAUUAAGCUGAAUUAAGCCUCAAACUAGUCCAAAUAGAGAUUUUAAGAUGAAAUUGAGAAUUUUAAAACCCCAAAAUGACUUAAUAUGGUGAUUCGGAGUUCGAGGAUUAAUUUGGAGUCAAAUUGGAAUUUUCAUGACGUAGGGGUAAAAUGAUCAUUUUACCACCCAAAGGUAAAAUUGGAAUUUUGCACCACCCAACACUUGUCUUGCCUAAGGAUUUCAUCCAUUAACAUUUUAUAUUAUGGAUAAUUGAGAUAUUUGAUGUGGUAGAGAAAGAAAGCUUAGUUGUUAAGUAUUAAUUAUGGACCGAUGGAAUGGUGACAAGUGGCAAACUUUCAUUUCUUUAUAAUUUACAUUAAAAAUCAGCACAUGAUUUACCCAUUUCACUCCCAUAUGUUUGGCCUCACCAAGGAAAAGAGGAAAGAAAGAAAGAACAAACCCUAGUGAGUAAAAAUUUAAGGAAAAUUAGUGGAUUUCAAAGAAUUAAGCAAGUAAAGGUAAAAUUUAUUGAUUUUAGCUUGUGAUCUACCUUUCCUAUGCAUUCUUUUUCAUUUUCCAUGAUUGAGAAACAAGUUUGCAUGAAGAUACCUUUGCUGGCCGGACAUGGGGGGAGGGGUUUUGAUCUUGGAUUUAGCUAGAUUUCAUGUUAUUCUAGUGUUUUUAGUUGGUAGGUGAUGUGUAGCAUAAAAAGCAAACAAGAAAAUUCAUGUUCUUCCAUCACCCUCAUUGGCUGAAUCUUCCUCAUGGUAUGUUGAUGGUGGAUUUGAUUUUAUUUUAAGUGAUUUGGUUAGGAAUUAAUGAUUUAUAGUGUAAAAAUCAAGCAUGAAAAAUCAUAGUGUUUAUGCACCCACCAUGGCCGAAUUUUCCAAGAGAAAAUGUUGAGGAUGAUUUUGCGAUAAUUUGUUAUCUAGCUUAUAUUUGAUGAUUUGGAGUAUUGGAAGUGAAAUGAAUUUAUUUGGAGUUGAAUUGGAUAUUUUGGCCAAUUAACUUGUGUAUAGUGUGAAUUAGGUUAAUACCAUUUCAGCCCCACACACAAUUGAACCUACGUAGAACACCGUAUUUAGAUAAUAAUCCAAGCAUUUCACAUCCCAUUUCAUGCAUGCAUAUAGAGCCUGAAAUAGAUUUAUAAUGACAUGACACAAUAUAUUGAAUUAUUUGUCAUGUAUUGUGUAUAGGUGGUGAGUCUUCUAACAAGGAUAAAGACAUUGUGCCAGAGGACCAAGAAUAGGAGUAUUUCGAACUCCCGAUAUUGUGAGCAAUCUUAUUAUCGUCUUAAUUAUCUAAAGUAGUUUUUAUUUGUUUUUGUGAUUUUAUAGAAAAAUGAGUUUAAAUGAUUAAAUGAAAUGAGUUUUAUAAAUCAUUUUGAAAUUGAAUGAUGAUUUUAGAAAUUGAGUAAUUGGAGACUGUUUGAUUGUGUUGUAAAUUUAUUGUUUGAAUUGAAUGGCUUAUGGUGAUAUUGGCAUGAAUGGCUGAAUUGAAAAUUGUAUUAAAAUUGUAUGAACUGUUUGUUUUGCCUUAACAGGCUGGGUAGUAAUAUAAUUGCCAUGUUAUGUUGUCGAACUUUUAUUGAUUUGGUGGGAUAUUGAUUAGUCAUUGCAGUGGUGGGUUUUCGUGGACUAGCCUAUUAGAGAGGGGCACGGUAAACUCGAUUAUAUUUGACCUUGGUACGAGAGGCGCGGAGGGUAUCUCCUGAGGUAAAACUUUAGAGUUCACUACACGCUAAACCACCACGUAAGGGUGAACUCAGCCAACGCCAAGGAACGAUUGUGCUUUUAAACGUAAAAAUGUGUUUUAUGCGUAUAUGAACUUUUCUUUAACAGCCUUAGCAUACUCGGUUGGAUGCCCCUGCGCAAGGUGUCAUCGAGCACAAGUUUUGGCACGAGUCAAAGUUUUAAGAGAGUCAUAAGCCAUGUUGAUUAUUUGAGUGAAAUGAAUUUAUUUUGUUUAGUUGAAAUGAGUUUGAAACGUUAUGAAUCAUAGUACGGUGAACUAUUUUAUGUUGUCUCAAUUUACUCGACUUUGGAUAUUUUAGAUGAUAUUUGUUUAUUCACUGAGUUUAUAUAAACUCACCACCCUCUUUUUCACCCAUUUCAAGCUCAGGAUAGUCUGUAGAUAGCUGAUUUCGUUGAGGGCUACAGUUGGAUUUGCAUCCUUAAAAAUCAUAAGUUCGCAACCUUCGUUACUUUUGAUCAUUUGGGAGCCCACAUGUCAUUAUAAAUUAAAUUAUACACUCUAACUCACUGUGUUACUGUAUGUAUGAAUUUAUUUUAUUUUUACGCUAUAAAAAUUAUUUGCGGAUACCUGUAUAAAUAUUGUUUUAUAAGAAAAUGAAAUAUUUUAUUUAAUAUUUUUAUUUUAUUCUAAUAGCUAUCAUUUCACUUUAAAUAAAUGUUUUAGACAUCUAAACUUAUUUUUGGCUAUUAAAUAUGUAUCUUUCACUCAUAUACUACAUUUUUAGAUGGUUUUGAAAUUUUUGGAGUAAAAUGACCAAAAUACCCUUGUGAGACGAAAAUUAUUUUUUUAUUGUUUUAGUUUGGAAAUAGCUUAUAAUCUUUUAAAAUAUGAUAUUAGCAACUGUUGCUCGCAGGGGAGGUGAGAAAACUGAUAUUAAACCUUGUGGGGUUUCGGUGGGUAUUCGGGUAAUGAAUGUCUAUCAGGACAUCGCGGUGGUUGUCACGGGCUCGAGGAGAGUACUGGGUCAUGACAUUAUAUUCUUAAUAGAGUCUCAAUAAGACCCUUGAUUUCGAAGACUCCAUAUGAACUUUAUAAAGGUAGGAAACCAAAUAUUUCUCACUUUAGGAGCUUUGGUUGUAAAAGCUUUGUAUUGAACAAUGGAAAACAGCCCCUAGGGAGUUUGAUGCAAAGAGUGAUGAAGCAAUAUUUUUAGGAUAUGCUUUAAACUCAAAGGCCUAUAGAGUUUUUAACAAAAAGACCUUGACUGUUGAAGAAUCAAUUCAUGUAGUUUUUGAUGAGUCAAAUGCAUUGCAAAAAGAAGUUCAUGAUGAUGAUGAUGAUGUAGAAGUCCUAGAAAAACAAAUGGAGGAAAUGAGCUUAGAAAACAACAAAAAUAAUGAAGAAAGCUCACCUAGAAGAGAAGAUGAAACUCCACUUUUGAAAAAUCUGUAAAGAGCAGAAAAUCAGCAUGAUGAUCUACCAAGGAGUUGGAGAUUUGUGAGAGAUCACCCACAAGACCAAAUAAUUGGUGAGAUUUCUCAAGGAGUUAAAAUUAGGAAAUCAACUAGAUAAACUUGUGAGUUUUCAGCUUUUAUAUCUUAAAUUGAACCUAAAAACUUUGAAGAAGCUAAAAAAGAGGAAAGUUGGAUAAUGGCCAUGUAAGAAGAAUUUGAUCAAUUCACAAGGAGUCAUGUAUGGUCAUUGGUACCUAGACCUUCAAAUCACCCUAUUGUUGGUACAAAAUGGGUGUUUAGAAAUAAGGUAGAUGAGCAAGAAAAUGUAGUUAGAAAUAAAGCUAGGUUGGUAACAAAUGGAUGCAACCAAGAAGAAGGAAUAGAUUAUGAUGAAACUUUUGCUCCGGUUGCUAGGAUUGAAGCUAUAAGGUUGUUGCUAGCUUUUACAUGUUUCAUGAAUUUUAAAUUGUUCCAAAUGGAUGUAAAAAGUGCAUUCUUAAAUGGAUUAAUUCAAGAGGAAGUAUAUGUAGAACAACCACCUGGUUUUGAAAACUUUGAAAAAUCUAAUCAUAUUUUCAAACUUCAUAAAGCCUUGUAUGAAUUGAAACAAGCUCCUAGAGCUUGGUAUGAAAGGCUUUCAAAAUUUCUAGUUGAGAAAGGGUAUGAUAGAGGCAGCAUCGAUACUACAUUGUUCAUUAAGAGAUAUCUAAAUAAUUUAAUUGUUGUGCAAAUAUAUGUGGAUGAUAUUGUAUUUGGUGCAACUAAUGAAGCUUUAUGGAAGAAGUUUGCAAAGGAAAUGCAGGGUGAAUUUGAAAUGAGCAUGAUAGGAGAGUUGAAGUACUUCCUUGGUCUUCAAAUCAAACAAAGUGAGGAAGAAAUCUUCAUCAACCAAGAAAGAUACACUCAUGAUAUGCUUAAGAAAUUUGAUAUGCUGAAGCUGAAAUCAAUUUCUACACCAAUGAGUCCAUCCACCAAACUCGACUUAGAUGAAAAAGGUAAGGAUGUAGAUCAAAGCUCUAUAAAAGGUAUGAUCGACUCUCUUCUCUACUUAACAACAAGUAGACCAGAUAUUCAGUUUAGUGUGUGCUUGUGUGCUAGAUUUCAGUCACAACCUAAAGAAUCACACCUAACUGCCAUUAAGAGAAUUUUUAGAUACCUCAUAGACACUCAAGAACUAGAAAUAUGGUACUCUAGAGACUCAACUCUUAACUUAGUUGGAUAUUCAGAUGCUGACUUUGCUGGUAGUAGAACUGAUAGGAAGAGCACUAGUGGAACAUGCCAAUUUUUAAGAAGGAUGCUUGUGUCUUGGUCCAGCAAAAAGCAAAACUUAGUGGCACUGUCUACAGCAGAGGCUGAAUAUGUAUCAUUAGGAAGCUGCUGUGCACAAAUCCUUUGGAUCAAGCAACAAUUAAAAUACUAUGGAAUAACAAUGCAUAAUGUACCAAUUUACUGUGAUAACACAAGUGCAAUCAAUAUAUCAAAAAAUCCUAUGCAGCACUCUAGGACAAAACACAUUGAGAUUAGACACCAUUUUAUUAGAGACCAUGUGAUGAAAAAUGAUAUUAAGAUAGAAUUUGUGAAUACUUUACAUCAAUUAGCAGACAUUUUUACCAAACCUUUGAGUGAAGAUAAAUUUUGUGAGAUUAGAAGAAAUUUAGGGAUGAUUAGUGUGAAGGAAUUAUAAGAAAACCUUAAGCUCUCACAUAGAAAACAAACUGUUUUCAAUCAACUAAGGAUUUCUCAAUCAACUAAGAGUAGUCUAACAGCCUUAAAUAAUAAGACUUAGUGAGUUUUAGAGAAAGAAGAGUAAAAUAUGGGUUGACCGGGUCCAAAAGGAAUAAAGGAAAAACUGUCAAAGGUAAAUAACCAAAUUUUUAGAGGGAAGUUUGAAAUUAUAAAGAAAUGAAAUAGGGCAGCACUUAAAAGGAAGGUGAAGAGUUUUUUUUAUAAUAACUGUUGACUGCCUCUCUUUCUCUCUCCCUUGAAACCCGUUGCUCUAAAAACAAAAACUAAAUCUCCCUGUUUGCCUCUGAAACUGACUCAAACCCUCAGAAAUUUUUGCAACUAACAUGGUUAGAACAUCUCAGAGCAAAGAGAUAUCAGAAAAGAAGAAAGGGAAAAGGCUAAUGGAGGAAGAAUCAGAAACUAAAAAUGUGAAAAAGAAACUGAAAAUCAUGGCUAGUUCAAUAAAAGAUAUAUCCGAGAAACUUAGAGAAAAGAAGAAAAAACUGGCAAGAAAAAGGAAAUAAAGCCCUCACUCCACAAAGGUACCAGAUAUUCCUCUUCAAAAUUUAGGAAUAAGUUGCAUGAGUAUAGAUUCAAGAAUAUCAAGAAUGCACCAAUCUCUUGUGAAAAAUUCAUUGACUGGAAUAGUUUUAACAAAAAUGUAGAAAUCCAAACUAAUCUAUUUGAGUACUUUGAUGAACUAAAACUAAAAGGCUACAGCAUAUUUAAGAAUAGGUUUUCAGUCCAGGUUUGGUCAAAGAGUUUUAUUUUGGAAUUGCUUUGAAAGGAAAGGAAUUAAUAGAUUCUGAUGAUUAUGUAGAAGAUGGUUUGAAUGUUUAUCUAAAUGGAAAAGAGUUUGUUAUGAUUACUGAGGAUUUAAGGAACCUGUUGAAAAUGGAAGAUAAAAUCACUGAGUUGGAAAACAAGUUGAAGGAGAAGGAAAACAUGCCAUCUGAACCUGUGGCUGCAGAUAGCUCUGCCACAUUCAGCACUGCACCUACAUAAUAAGGUGCUGAAAAUUCAACUAAGUCAGUAGAAAAAUCUGCUCCUCAUGUUGGAAGUUCUAGCAUUUAGGCUGAAAGUUCCAUUUAUAAAUCUGUCUGUCCUACUCUACAAACUAAAGACUCUCCCAAAGGGGUUGAUCAACCAGCCAAGACAACUUCCCCUGAACCUCAAAGCAAAAAUGAUACAGAGACAAAGAAACACCAGGCCUCUCCUCCAAACUCAAAGGAAGUUUCCAUCAUGGAUAUCUUCCACCAAAUGGUUAAAGAGGGAGAAGCUGAGAAGGACACUGCUAGGACAAAAACUCAAAAAGAUGGUGAAGGUGUAGGAAAAGGAAAGAAAUCUGCAUCAGUUGCCAGAGUAAAGACAAAAGUAGGGAAAGCCAAAGCCACUGCAGCACCACCAACUAAGGCAAAACGACCAACCAAAGGCAAGAAGACUAUGGCAACCAAGACAGUUUUUCUCAAAAGAAGAAAGUCUUCUAAGUUGGCAGAGAAAUCCAGACCAAUUUCAGCCUCCUCUCCAAUCCCUGUCUCAGAUAAGUCCUUACUAGAACCUUCUCCAAAACAUUCAUUACCUCUCCGAGAGCUCUCUCAUUUUCCUAUUAACCCUUUCUACAACACUAAGUCCUCACCCUCUAACUCAUCAGAUGAAUAAAAGCCCAUCCCUUUUAUGCUGACAAAAAGGGGAGUAGAAUAGAAUGGGUACAGCAACUAGGAACCAAAGAAUAAAAAAAAAAUGUUAGGGUAGAGGAACCAGGAAGGAACCUAGGAAAGAAAAAAAAAAAAGACAGAAUCAAAGAUGUAUGAACUUAGAAAAAUAGGAGAUAUGAAGCAAAAAUAGUCCAAGGGCAGUUUCGAAACACUUGUUGGUUAACUAUUAUUUGUGCCAUGGUGGCACUUAAACACUCAGUUUUAAUUCUAUUAUUUAUAUGGUUGUAUGUGAAAAAUGAAUGCUGAUAUAACUAUGUUGCUUAAUUGCUAAAAAUUGAAGUCUGCUGAUAUUUUGGUAUUUUGAUUGUCAUGAACAAAAUUUGCUAGUGCCAUGUUGAUAUUGAUGCACAUGUUGAUAAAUGAUUUUUGUUAUGGCAUUGUGGAUAAUUUCUGUUUGAAAAUAGAUAUAAAUGGUAUGGAUAAUAUAUCAAUUGAGACAUGAAUGAUGUGAACAAAAUCUGAAAUCAAUAAAAUGUUGACAGCUGUUGGAACAUUGAUGAAAAUCUGUCAACACUUAAAGCUGAAAGUUUAAUGAUAAUAUGCCAAUACUUACUUGCUACAAAUCACUCUAUGUUGUUGAACAUAUGUAUACUCUAAAUAUACAAUAUCAUUUUCUAUAUGAUGAGAAUAAAAUUGGCUAAAAUAAAAUAAGCAAAAUAUGCACAUUAAGGGGGAGCUUAUACUUAGGGGGAGCAAUCCUCAGUUUUGCAAAAAACUAAAUUAAAAUGACACUAUGCUAUUAAUCAAGGAGUGUUUUGUCAUCAUCAAAAAAGGGGAGAUUGUUGGCUCCAUUAGUUUUUGAUGAUAAUAAAACAUUCCCAUUUUUGUGUGUCUAAUACCUUUACUUGAGUGUGCAGGAAAGUAAUUUGUGAAAUUAAUUUAUUGACUCUUCAAAGAGUAUUUUUGAAAGAAAAAGAGGGAUAAAAUAAACAAGAUGUAACUAAAUAACAAGGAGGAAGCUUAUUGGUGAAACAAGGAAGAACAUUGGUUGACCAAAUUUCAAAUUGGAGAAAUGGUGAGCUAAAGAGUUUGAGAAACAAAAUCAAUUUAGUCAACCAAGUCAGUCGACUAAGUGCUCUCUGCCAAAAUCUACAAACCAGAAACAGAACCAACUUAGUUAACCAAGUUAUUUGACUAAGAGCUCUCUGUCUGCAAGUUGAACCAGAGCACUAUAAGAGAGAUUAAUGGCUAAAACUCAUCCUCAAUUGUUUCCAACGGAUAUAAACUGCUAAACUGCCAUCAGAGUUGCAUCUCCAAGUAUAAAAGGGUCUUCCAACAAUAAAAAAGAAGUUUUUUGAAGCCUUGAAUGAGUUUUGAGCUAUAGAAAGAAGAAAACUCAGAAAAGCUUCACUGCACUUAAACGCCUACUCUUUGCAUUUGUAUUUAGCACUUAAUCUUGUACCAAUCAGAUCAACAAGUGAACAUAGGUACUUUUUUUUACUACUUCUCUUGUAUUCUUAGAGUGAGGGAGUUAUUCUAAGGGGUUGUUCAAGCUUGGGAUAGCUUGAUUGUUAAAGGUUGUGGUUGAGCCUUGAAAAACCACAUAGGGUUUUAGUUGAGCCCGUGAAAAACUAGUGUAAAAGGUUUUUGGCUAAGCUUGGUAAAAGCCAUUGUAAAGCUUGGUGAAAGCUUGUAAAUUUCACCGGUCCAUAGUGGAUUUGUGGGAAAAUCCUUGGUUGGAUAAUCUAGGUAGUGGAUGUAGGUCUUGGACCGAACCACUAUAAAUUGUUGUGCAUUGUAUACUCUGUUUUUAUGUUCUUUGUUCUGGAAAUUUGUUUCCAAUCUUGUCAAGAGUCGAUUUGUGCUAUUCACCCCCCUCUAGCACAUAUUAUAGGGACCAACAAUCAUCAUUUGGUAUCGCAUUGCCGGUGAACAUGCACAUGCCCAUCUGUCAGGCUCUAUUCUCAUAAGGUCAGCAUGAGCUCCCGCGUGAAUCUGGUUUAGCUAGUUCAUAUGUCUGUUGAAAUCGAAAACCUUAUAGCAAUCUCGAGCAAGGGUGAAAAUCAUACAAACGUCGUUACACUUGAACUUGUUUUUUAAAUUUUUGAAGUGGUAACCGCAUAAACCUUGGUGCACUUCUGGGUAUACAUUUUGGAUUACUUUCUUAAUGCCGAGAUGCUGAUCAGAAAUGAACAUAGUGUUUUCAGGACAACCAACCGCAUCACGCAGCUUACUAAGAAACCACGUCCAUGAGUCUUCGUCCUCAACAUGGCCGACGCCAAAUGCAACUGGAUAUACGCACUCGUUCGCAUCUUUGCAUAUAGUGACAAACAAAACACUCUUGAACCUGCCUUUCAGAUGUAUCGCAUCAAUUGCAACCGUAGGACGCAUUACAUCCCUAAACCCCUAAAUACAAGCCCUAUAUGACCAGAAAUAAUAUUUGAAUCUUUUUGCCUCAUCAGUAGCCACUGCAGUCACUGUGCCAAGAUUUUCUUGUUCCAACAUAUAAAAAUACGAGGGUAGUAGUUGAAAUGACUCUUUCGGUGGGUCGAAAACAAGCCUCUUUGAAUACUCCUUCACUUGCCAAGCCUUACCAUACAAGCAUUCCAAUCCCCACUGAACCCUCAUCUCACAAAUUAUGUCCUUAGGUCUUAAUGCUGCUCCAUUAGCCCGAAGCUUCUGUGACAUAAGUUCACCAAUUAUCUUCGCACUCGUAGUACAGGUGUGUACUUUAUGGAACGUCCGAACUUAUCAAUAUUCUCCUCUGUCAGGUAACUUCGUUGCACGCACACUGAACUUGCAUGCCUUGUCCUUGCAACCAACUUCGUAACUACCUUUACAUGACCUUUUUAUUUUUAUUGCAAACUUCUCUUUUAUAACCAACAUGUUCAAAGCUCGUUUCAACUCGGCCUUCGACGAAAGCAUUUUUCCUUUGUAUAAGUGAUCAUCGACAUAUGUCGGCUCCUUAGUGGAAAUUGUUUGGAAGGAGAACCUUUCUGCACUUGAAAUUAGCCACGUACGAGAUAUCCUUGCAUUUCCCCUUUCCUGAUAACUGUCAUCGAGCAAUGUAUCAAGAGAACGAAAUCUCGUUCUCACUAGUGAUGGGGUUAUUGUAUAUGGGGUCAUCACACUGAACAUUUCCUACAUCAACACCUCCAACAGGUUCUGUUUCACCUUCAACAUGUCACAACCCAAAGUCCGGGCUAUGACCGACGUAUGGGCCUAAUGGGCAUAGCCCACUAAGCCCAAGCAAGCCUAUUUAUGCAAUCCCGAUCAUCAUUCCAAACCAUCAUUUCUCAAACCCAUAUUGUAAUUCUCAACUAAAAAUAUUUCAAUAACACUUUAUAGUAACCUAAUACUCACAAUUGUAGUAUGCUAACAUAGUAUCACUCAUUUGCCACCUUUCAGUGGCUUCAGUAAUCAAAUAUACAUAUUUGAUUUUUAACAUGAAUCUUAGUGGUCUUCAUUACUUAUACAUGUAUACAAGCAUAAAACUCUUGACCAUCAGCGGAGUGACUCUAGGUGAAGAUACAACUACUGAGAUGCUAUAGUACCUACCAAGAAGGCGAGCAUACAUGGACAACUCAAUCUAGGUCCCAACUGCCUCUAAAUCUGAAAACAUGAAGUUUAAAAACGCGAGUAUAAAACUCAAUGAGUGAACAUAAGAAGGGAACAAACAAUCGAUAGGAAGAAUUUGAAAAUCAUGAUGCACUUGUUUCAAAAACAAUGCAAUCGAUUUAAUUUUAUCACUAAAAACACCUCUUUUCAAACUUUGAUUAAUAACCUCAUAGUAUUGCAAAAACCCAUGAUCAAUCCAUGAAGUUAAAUGGGUGAAAAAUAUGUCCAAAAUCAAGCAAGGUAGCAAGCAUGGCAGCAAGUUUCUCGCUGCAACGAGAAACAAUGUCAGUUUGCAUGUGUUUCAGUUUUUCUAGAGUAUCUCCCAUUAUAGAAGUCCAAUUGACCUGAUUUUUAAACCAUUAGAAACCUAAGAUGCAGGGAUACAACUUUUAUGUUUACCACUUUUCCCAUUUCAGAUAGGAAGAUGGUCAAAAUCUUUAUCGAAGUGAAAGCAUUAUACUAGAACCUGAGAGUUUCUCGCUGCAGUAAAAAUGAAUCUCACUGCAGCGAGAAACACAACAUUUUUAUUGAAAUGAGUCUUAUUACAUCAAAAGCCAUUUUCUUGUCGACAUGAAAAGCAAUUUAGGAGCAAUUAACAAUGCCAACACAUAAGACAAUCACAAUUAUUUUCAUAAACUUUCUAUAACAUAUAUAUAUAUAUAUAUUUGCAUAUACAUACUUCAUCAUGCAUACCAUCUCGCCACACUUAGCUCAUGUGCAUCCCCCCACAUCGUGCACAUAGCUAGAGUCAUCAUGUGCAUCCCCCACAUCGUGCACAAGCAAUAUCAUCGUGUGCGUCCCCCCACAUCGGGCACAAGUAAUAUCAUCAUCCACACUCCCAUACCCCGUCAUCACUGACAUGUGCAUCCCCCCACAUCGUGCACACGCACGGUUAUAAUUAUCACACAAUAUCAACUAUCAAUGCACAACAUAUAUAUAUACCAACAUAAUGUAGUGGUACAUGAAUCCAUAACAACCACAUGUCACAACAUAGAGACAAUUUAUUAAGGGUUUGUUCCCAUGCAUAAUUUAAUGAAAAGCCAAGUAAAAUCAUUUAAAUGCUUCAUCCCAAAACAUAUGUAUUUCCCAAAAACACUUUGAUGCAAGUUCACUCAUCAAUAUUUGUUGAAUCUUUAAUUGACUCUAACUUUGAUUAUUGCUUCAAAUGGACAUGUGAGGCCUCAUUGGAACCUAUUGUCACACACAACAUCACAACCAACCCAAAUUGGCAUUAAUAUAAUUCCAAAAGCUCUUUCGUAAAUCAAGUUCCACUAGUUAUUCCUAACUAGCUUCCAAUUGCCAUUAAAUGGCUAUCUAUUCUUUCUACUCUAGUAACUCUAGAAAUAAAUAAACAAACCUCAAUAAUAAAACAACUCACAACUUCAAUUACUAGCCAUUAUCAAUAACCUAAAAUCAAUCCUCAUUUAUUACUCACCUUGGUGGAUUUGUAGUUGAAUUCCUUCUUAAGAAUACUCAAGCUAUCAUAAAGAGUCUCUCUUUUUCUCUCUCUUUAAAAUUUUUAACUAGUGAGAGAAAGUGUUGAACAAAGACUUUUUAAAGGUUUUAAGGUGAGAAAGUGAAAGAGAACAAAAGGUUCCAUGAAAAAGUGCUUAAAUGCAUGAAAAUUGAAGCUAGAGAGAGAAAGUUAUGGAAGCUUUAUGGGAGGCUCCCAUGGAGAUGAAGAAACGUGAGAUGGGAAGGAAGAAGAAAUGGCUGGAAACUACUGGAAAUUGCUGGAGCUUUAGAUAUUUAUAUCUAAAGUUUAUCCAUUUCUCACUUAAAUUACCAAAAUGCCCUUAACGUGGUGACUUUGUCUUCCUCUCAUCCUUUGUGCAACCUUUUACUCUUUUGACACUAGGGCAAGGUCCAUAAUAGUCUAUAAAUACUCGAGUUCACGAAAACAUAAAAAUUUAGACUCGAGAUGCAAAAUGACCAUUUUGCCUUUACACAAAAAUUAUCAUUAUUUUUAUCUUUUUCAUUUAUUGACCAUCAUAAACAUCAUUUAUUCAUUCCUUAGGCUUAUUUAGACCUUAAUAGCAUCAAAAAAAAAACACCUACUCGUAGGAGCUCAUCAAGAAAAAUUACAAAAUUACCCCUAGUCCGUAUUAUCGCGUCUACUUCUAGUUAUGUGUUUAUGGAGGUGAGAUUUCACAGGUUCACUUUUGAAUUACCCUUUUUAACUCGGUAAUUAACCUCAAUUGUCAUCCAUAAACUUUAUUAGCCACCGUAUCAAAAUACGGGAUACUACACAACGUUAUUGUAAAUUAGAAUAUCACUGUCAUAAAGCCAGUCAUUGUCUGAACUGUCAUCAUGCCAUUGUUCAAGCCCAUCAUCUGAAUUGUCAUCAAAUCUAUCUUCACUGGCAACGAACAAAUCCUCAUUUCCCUCAUCAAAUGUAGAAUUAUCUUCCAACGUCGCAGUGUCACCCUCCAACCUCACAUUGUUGUCCUUAGGUGUCGUAUUCUCAUUUGACAAUGGCAUUACACACUCUAUAGUUUCACCCGAUCGUUGCAUUUGUUAGACAGAAGCAAGUGAUUGGUUCGAUGCACAUCUUGAUCGAAAUUGUACAGCCAACUGUUCUGUGAAUGUCGUCUGUCUACCAGGCUGCACAAACUCUUGUGCAUACCUCAAUUGCCAUUGUUAUGGGUUACGGACCGAAUGUUGUGGUAUAUGUGAAGCAUUGAAAAUCUCAUUUUGAUUGAGCUGAUUACCAUGUUCUUCAACUUCUUCAUGUGACAUAACAUUUGUUUGGCGUCCCUUAAUGCUGACAUACACAGUCGGAACAUUCCUCUGUUCUAGCAGAAUUAAUGCAACAUCCUCAUCGUCCUUGAUAAUUGGCCGUGAUAGCUUUCCGAGUAUACUGAUCAAUGCAUGUAACUCAAUCUCAUCAAUUUUUUUGUUUACCCCAACAACAUCUUCAACCAGCUUCAUCAAGCCCGCAAAUGACAAAUCACUCAUAAUCCCCCGCAUUCGUGACUCACCACCCAUGUAGAUGCCAUCCACCCACUGACCAUCGUGUCUUAUCACAAGUUGCCCAAUUGGAACCCCACUAAAAUUUUGAAAGAAUAAAAAAUUUGUCAAUCAUUUUACACAAUGCAUGCUGUGUUCAAAAUUUGUUGUAAAAUGAGGUAACAUGCAAUGCAUAUAAUGUAAAAUGUGGUAACACGCCAUGCAUAUAACGUAAAAUAUGGUAACACGCCAUGCAUAUAACCAAUGUCGUGACACACUAAAAUAACGUUAACACAUGUUAUAGAUGCAUGGCGUGUAACAACUCUGGGCAAUGUUUCUAAUCCAUGUUCUAAUUUACACCAAAUGUUUCAAAAAUUUAAGUGCGUUGCAGCAAUAAACCCAAUAACAGGUACCUUGAUGUCAUCUCUGCUAUAGGGUCUGUUAAUCUACGACAAUUUAGCCAGAUGUCGAGAGAUAGACUACAGCCUGAUGAUGAUGGUGCUCAACAAAGAGUUGAUAGAGCUCAUACAGUCCAAAGAUCUGAGAGAGCUUACGACAAUGGUGCUCAACACAAAGUUGGCAGAGUUGAGAUAGUUUAGAGAGUUGAGAGAAAAAGAUGACCAAGCUCAAACAGUUGAGCAUUUAUUUGAAACGAUAUUUUUAAGGGCAUUUUGGUCUACUCAUGCUUCUUUUUGGCUAGAAACAGAUAACUUUAUAUGGGUGAUUUCUGAAAUCACUUUAUCACGAAGUCCUUUUUUCACAAUUUCCUUUUAAUAUACUUAUUAUAUAUUAAUUAAUAUUAUCAAAUGUAUAAUACUAUUUUGUUGUUUAUAUAAUAUAUGUUGUUUAUUAGUUAUUAAAUAAGUAUAUUAUUUGUUAAAUGUAAAUUACUUCAAUAUCAAUAUAUAGAAGUUAUAUAUUUAUAUUACCUAGUAUAUUAUUUAAUUUAAAUUUAUUGUCAAUUCUUUUUAAUUUAUAUUAACUAAUAUUAGUAUACAUCAAGUAUUAUUAUUUUUGUAUACCUUAUAUGGUUUUAUAUUAUAUCAUACUUAUCAAUUCAAUUAUUAAAAUUAUAAUAUGAAACUAAUCGUCAAGAAUGACGCACUUACUCCAAUUUAGAAUUAUCUUACAUAAAUAUAAUCAAUGUGAAGCAUAAUGUUAUAUUAUUUUAUUAUAUACAUAUUAAUGACACAAAUUAUAUGUUAUAAUAUUAUAUGUAUAUAUUUCAAAGUUUGUAUAACUAAUAACUAAUUGCAAACAAUAUGUUAUAAUAAUUACUAAUAAAGUUAUUAAAUGUAUUCAUAUGAAUAAAAUUUAUUAUAAGCUAACAUAUAAAAUAUAGGUGUAAUAAUUAUAACAUAGUAAUAUAUAUGUAAGAUACUUAAUAUCUCAUAUAUAUAUAUAUAUAAACUUAUAAAGUUAUAUAACUUAAAAUAGAUAAUAGUUAAUUUCAUAUUAAUACAGGUUUAUAUGUAGUUAGAUAUAUAUAUAUAUAUAAUUUGUAUACAUAUAAUAAACUAAUAUAUUUUAAAUAUAUUAUACUAAUUAUAAGUUUAUUAUAAAUAUCAGUUUGCUUAUAAUUUAUAUUAACUAAUAUUAGUAUGUUUCUAAACUAUUAUUAGUUUUUGUUUAAUUGAUUAUUAUAUCUUAUCAUGUAUUUUUAUAAAAUUAACAAAUUAAUUUUGUUCUUUUUAUAAAUUUUUUAAUGUUAUAAAAUUAAUGAAUUUUGAAUCAUUAAUUUAUAAUGUAUGAUUCAAUAAAGUUUUAAAAAAUCUAUAAAAAUAAUCAAAGGAAAACAUACUUAAACGUUUAAAUAUUAUAAACUUCAAUAUGUAUAUAUUUGCUUUUAUUAAUAUCUUUUUUUAUAAAAGAUUAAUAAAAUUUAUAAAAGGUAUAAAAUAUUUUUGGGAAAAAAUUAAAAAAAAAUCUGUUUCCAACAAAAUUUUCCAACGGAAUCUUCCGUUGGAAAAUUUCAGUUGGUAAUCACUUUUUCCAACAGAAAAUUUUGUUGGAAAAUUUAGCGGGCUUUAAAAUAUUUUGAGUCCUUUAACUUUCUGAUAGAUUUCCAACAGAUAGUUUUUUGUUGAAAAAUUCCAACGAAAAUCCGUUGGAAAAUCCGUCGGAAUAGGUGGUGGGUGGAAUUUUUUUGCGAGCCAAAAAAUUCUCCAACGGAUUUCCAACAAAAAAAUUUCGUUGAAAAAUUUCCAUUGGAAAUCCGUUAGAAAUUCGUCGGAAAAAUUAUAACAACUUUUUGUUCAAAUUUCGUUGGAAAUCCGUUGGAAAUUUCCAACAAAAUUUUUUCCGUUGGAAAAAAGCUGUUUUCUUGUGGUGGGUCAUCCACUACAUUUCUACAUCAACACAAUUAUAUAAACAGCAUCACUCCAUUAUAGAACUUCUCAACAUACUGUGUGGAUCGUUAUACAUACAUUCAUCACAUACACACUGUCACACAAUCAUGGAACUUCUUAACAUGAAGUGUGAUUUCUAUCUCAUAUCAUAGCAAUAUUCCCAUUUAUACAUCUCAUUUGUGGUUCAGCACACUUUCCGUGCCUAUAACUCUUUUGGUCCGUGCACCAUAUUAUCAACAUUAUUUCACACCCAUUUCUAGGGCUUAACAUAAUAUUCACAGUGAUCAAACAUGAAUAUAUCAAUACUUAUUACAUAAAUAAAUACCAUUUAAAUAGUGCACCCAAGCAUUUAGCUUAUUGGUUGAUGCAUGACCCCUUGCCUAAAAAGUAUGGUUCGAAUCUCCCUUCUCCUAAUUAUAAAAAAAAAUAAUAAUAAAAAAAGGUACUAUGUAAGUAGUAACAUUAAAAGACUUGACUCAAUACACUACGAAGUAUAGUGAUGUUGAAGGGCUAGAAGGAAAGCACUGUUACACCUACCAAGUAUGAGAUAAGGUACUUUUUCACAAGACACCUAACCAAGUGAGCUAUUGAUCUGUAAAACAAAAAUAAAGGAAAAUAGUUGGUGAGUCACAAAGACUCCAUGAGUGGAUACGAGGAAAGGGAUAAGCCAAGGGAAAGAGUUUUUUCAAUAAACCAUACUUUGUAAAAAAAACAUGAUAUUCACAAAUAUCCAUAUAAAUCUUUUCAAAUGUCAAUAAUCUAAUUUCAACAUUUUUCCAUAAACACAUUGAAAUUCAUUAUGCAUAAAAGAAUUAAUAAGCAUUUGACCUCUACUUACAAAACAUUUUCAAGGAGAAAAACAAGAGAGUUCAUAUCAAUGAUGUCACGACCCAAAUUCUGGGCCAUGACCUACGCAUGGGCCCAGUGGACAUAGCCCACUAAGCCCAAGCAAGCCUAUUUACAUAAUCCCGUUCACUAUCCCAUCAAUUUUUCAUCACCAUUACUAGACCACCAUUUGUAAUUUGCAACUAGACGUAUUUUCAUAAUACAACAUAGAUAUCAAAAUUUACUUUUGUAUGAUCUCAAAUAAGGUUAUUCAUAGCCAUCUCAUAAUGGCACCAUCAUUCCAAACUAUACAAGCAUCGUUAGCAAAGUGAUUCCUAGCAAUUUACAUUUAAUGUAUAUGUACUCAUAUAAAAGACUUCUGACGACCAGCAGAGUGACUUUGGUGAAGGUACGGCUAUCGAAUGCCAUGAUACCUACCAAUAGUGAAUGUAAGUGGACGCCUUAGUCUCGGUCCCAACUAUCUACAAAUCUGAAAACAUGAAAUUUAAAAGAGUGAGUAUAAACUCAGUGAGUGAACAUAAGAAGGGAACAAGCAAUGACAAGGAAUGUUUUAGAAAACAUGAUGCACUUACAAUAAACCAUGCAAUUUAGUCUAAUUUUUUAGUUAAAACCCCUCAUUUCAAACUUUGAAUGUUUAAUCCCUUAAUGUUACAAGAUCCAUGAUGAACCAUAAAGUUGAAUAGAAUGAAAAUUUCAGUAAUGACCAAGCAAGACAAACAAAUAGAGGGUUUUCUCGCUGUAGCAAAAAGGCAUUCUUUGUUUGCAUAUGCUUCGGUUUUUCAAGUAUAUCUCCCACUACAGAAGUCAAAUUGACAUGAUUUUAUGGUCAUUAGAAAGCUAAGAGGCUAGGCUACAACUUUGAUGUUAACCAUUUUGCCUAGUUCUGAACGAAAGGUGGUCAAAAUCAUUUUCAAAGUGAAAGCUCUGUACCAAAAUUUCGGAACCACUCGAGAGUUUCUCGCUGCAACGAGAAGCUUCAGGAAAUUUCUCGCUGCAGUGAGAACCAGGCCAAUGUAACCCCCCCCAACCCGAGAGUUUCUCGCUGCAGUGAGAAACAGAGCAAUUUAGUUAAAAGGGGUAUUGUUACAUCAAAAAGUCAUUUUCUUGCGAAAAUGAAAAGCAAUUUGGGAGCAAUUAACAAUGCCAACAUACAACACAAUCACAAUUAUUUUCAUGAACUUUCUAUAACAUAUAUACAUAUAUAUAUGUAUAUACAUACAUCAUCAUGCAUACCAUUUCACCACACUUAGCUCAUGUGCACUCCCUACACACACAAUGCAAUAUCAUCAUCAUGUGCACUCCCUACUCGCAAAUAGUCGGGUCAUCAUCAGCUCAAGUGCACUCCCACACAGCACAUAGCUGGGUCAUCAUUAUCACACAAAAGAAGCAUCCAAAGCAUAAUAUACAUAUCAAUAUAAUGUGAUAACGCAUGAACUAUUCAUAUUGCACAUUUCACAAGAUAGAAACAUUUCAUCAAGGGCUUGUUCCCCAAGUAUAUUUUUUAAAGCAAAAACAAAUUAAACUUUCAAAUGACUUAUUUAAACAUGUAGGCACUUCCCAAAACAUUUUGAAAUGCAUGUUUACUCACCGGUAUUUUUUAAAUCUUAGAUCGACUCUAACUUCUACUAAUGCUCCGAAUGGAGAUGUGGGGUCUCGUUGGAAUCUAUCACACACAAUGGCAUCACAAAUCAACUUAAUUAACAUAACCAUAAUUCUGAAAGCUAUCUCUUAAAUCAUGUUCUACCAGUUAUUCCUAACUAGCUUCCAAUUGCCAUUAAGCAGCUAUUUACUUUCACUAUUCUACUCACACUAAAGAUGAAUACAUAAUCCUCAACUACAAAACAUUUACAAAUCUAUCCACUAGCCAUUUUCAACAACUUAAAAAUCAACUAUAAUUCACUAACCUUGUUAGCUUUGCAAUUGAAUUCCUUUUCAAAAAUUUUCAAGCAUGAAAAUUUGGAGUUAACUUAAGAAAAGUUAUGGAGGUUUCAAAACAAGCUUCCAUAGAAGAUGAAAGAAAUGUGAGAUCGGAGGAAGAAGAAGAAAAAGAAGCUACUGGAAAAUGAUAUUUAUAGCUAAAGCUUAUCCAAACUCCACUUAAAUUACGAAAAUGCCCUUAACAAGUUGGAUUUGUCUUCCUCCAAUCCUUUGUGCAAUCUUUUUACUCUUUUGACACUCAGACAAAGUCCAUAAUAGUCUAGAAAUACUCGGGUUCAUGAAAACUUAAAAAUUUUGACUCGAGAUGAAAAAUGACCAUUUUGCCCCUACAUAAGAAAUCAUCAGUAUUUCUAUUUUCUUUGUCAUUUUAUCCUUAUUUUCAUCAUUCAUUUAUGCCUUAGGCCUUAAUAAUGUUUGAAAGCAUACUUCUAGGUGCUCACUAAAGAAAUGACGAAAUUAUCCCUAGUCCGUGAUAUCGUGUCUACUUCUAGCUACGAGUCUAUAAAGAUCAAGGUCUCACAAAUGAUACCAAUACUUUUGUUGUUGGUAGUUGAAUCAAUCCUUAUAUAACCCAUACUUUGGGCAUUACCUCCCACUUAGGGAUUAGGAAAGCACAACACGAGUUUUUCCACUUAAUAGUUCUAUAUCAACCUUUUGACACACGAACACAUAUUCAACAACUCAAUACAUCAUCAAUAUUAAGUGAACAUCUUAAAAAACUCAAUAUAGGCAUGAAUAUCACCACAAAGGAAUUGGCAUGUUCACCUUAAUAUCAUAAUUACAAAGUGUGUGGUAUGAUGCCCCACAUUUAGCCCUUGAUCACGUGUGGUAUGAAGCCCCACAUCUAGCUCAAGUAUUCGUGUGGUAUAACGCCCCACAUCUAGCCCUCUUACAGGUGUGGUAUUGAUAUCUUUAUCUUGAUUUUGAAAUGACAAAAUUGAUUUACUUGAAAGAGAUGAAAGAGUUUUCAAAGAUGAAGAAAAUCCCUAAAGAGUUUUGAAGUUGUUUUUAAAUUGAAAGAUAUUUUUAAAUCUUCAAACUCUAAAUUUUCAACUGCAAGAAUUGACCUUUAGAAAAUGAAGAAUCGAUUCUCAAUUAUAUAGAAAGCAAAAUCUCUUUUUCUAUUAUAAGAAAAAUCAAUUCUCAAACAAGUACCUGUCAGUUUUGGAGAAACAGAAUCCACCAGACAAAGCAAGAAUUGACACUAAGAAGUUAACAUGUCGAUUCUGGAAGCUUGAGAGAGAAAAAGUCAAAAACUUGGAGAAGAAGCAAGAGUUGAAAAAUAAAUAAGAUUGGAACGUAAAAUUUGAAGUUUGAAUUUUUGAAUUAGCACUAAACACACAUAAAGAAUCAACACUAAUAGCACAACAUGUUGAUUAUGGGAAAAGAUAAAAAAGUGUAAACUUGGAAUAUGUCAUGAAGAAUCAACACCAGAUGAAGAACAUGUCGAUUCCCAAGAAAAAUAAAAAAAUGUAAAUUUUCCAAAAUUAUGAAAAAUUGACACCAAAGGUACAACAUGUCGACUUUACAAGCACAAAAGACAAAAGUCCAAUUAGCACGAAAUGGAAAGAAAAGUUUUGAAUCCUACUCCAACGGUAAAAAAGGUCCAGGUUUAUAAAUACACAACCAAAGGACAUCAAAAGAGAAAGGAAGAUCGAGAAAGAAAAUUAGAAAAGAAGGAAAAAAUAGGGAAAACAAGAAAAGAAUAUUUUUUUAAAUGGCUAAAAAAGAAAAAUCCUUCCUUUAUUUUGAUAGUGAGUUGACCAUAUUCAAAAAGCAUACCUUUCCUCACUGUAGAAAGUUUUUGAGCUUAAAUACUCCUAUUUCCAACCCUUAUUCUUAAAAAGCUUUCACCUUUAGUGCUCCCAUUGCUUACCAGCCUUCUUUAGAGGCAUAAAGUUCAUACCAUUGUAAUCCAUUAUUGUUUUUGGUUAUACCUCUUAGAAAAAAGUAAAGGGGUUGUGCUUUAACCUUAAAAAGGUAGAGACUUUGUGAAAGGUUGUGCUUUAACCUUGAAAGGCAUUGACGUUGUGAGGUUGUGCUUGCUCCUCUUGAAAAGGUAGUGAUGUUGAGAGGUUGUGCUUGCUCUUUUUCAAAAGGCAGUGACAUUAUGAGGUUGUGCUUGCUCCUCUCGAAAAGGUAGUGCUUGUGAAAGGUUAUGCCUACUCAUUGAAAACAAGUUUAUAAUAGAUUCAAACUCCAUGUGGUAUCAAAGAAGAGGAUGUAGGCAUUGAAGGUCGAACCUCUAUAAAAAUCAUGGCUUUGUUGUUUUUACUUUUCUACACUUUCAUAUUUUCUUAGGCUCUAUUUUUUUAUUCUACUGCAUUGAAGUUUAUUUAUCUCUUUAAUUUGAGAAAAAGAGAAGGUUUUCUCUUGGUAACCAAUUCACCCCUCCUUUUGGUUAAUUUACUUUAAGCUUAUCUCAACUAACAAUUGGUAUUAGAGCAGGUUCUCAAGUUUUGCAAGUCUAACAACCUUUGAGAGAUCUUGAACAAAAGCUUAAAGUAACAACAACGGCAUCCUCGAGCUUCAUUAAUGAAAGAUAAUCUAUGAUGCGACCUCCAUUCAAACGCGAGAACUACCCAUUUUGGAGAAAGAGGUUUGAAAAGUUUAUACAAUCUAUUGAUUUGGAUCUUUAAGAUAUUAUUGUUGAUGGAACUCAUGUUUCUAGCAAAACUAUUGAUGGUGUCAAACGCGUUAAAACAAGAGCUGAAUGGGAUUACAAGGAUAAAAAGCUGAUUUUGUUGAAUCGCAAAGCUAUGACAACUAGCUUGUGUGUGCUCUUAGUGAGAAUCAAUUUAAUAGGGUAUCUACGUGCACUUCAACAAAAGAAAUUUGAGACACAUUAGAAAAUUGCUAUAAAGGCACAAGUCAAGUUAAAGAGUCAAAAAUUAGUAUUCUGAUUCUUGAUUAUGAACUCUUUAAAAUGAAAGAUGAGGAAUCCAUUAAAAUGAAGUUAGCGAGAUUCACCAAAAUUAUAAGAUGAUUGAAAGCUUUAUGGAGAGAAUUUCCUAAUGCUCCAUUAGUGAAGAAAAUUCUCCACUACCUACUAAAGUCUUGGAAACCGAAGGUCACUACCAUAAAAGAAGCAAAGAUCUUAAUGUGUUUAAGCUAGAUGAGCUUCUAAGUUCUUUACUCACUUAUGAGAUGACCUUUAGACAUAAGAAAGAAAGAGAUGAAGCAAUUAGAGAAGAAUAAAACAGAAAAGACUUUGCUCUCAAAGCUGUAAAACAUAGUGAUGAAAAGUUACUUGAAAGUGAUGUUAAAGAAGAUGAUUAUGAUAUGAUGUAGCUUUGUUGACAAGAAACUUUAACAGAUUCUUGAGAAAUAAGUAAAGAGAUAAAAAAAAACCUCUAUUAGAGGGAUAAACAAAGAAAGAACAUGAGAAAAGACAUACCAAAGGAUGGCCAUGGAAAAGAGCAUAUAAUUUGCUAUAAGAAUAAAAAAUCUAGUCAUAUCAUAUAUAAAUGUCCAAAUCUUGAAAAAAGCCAUCCAAAUAACUGCAAAAAGAAAGCCAUGGUAGCUACUUUGAGUGAUAAUGAUGAGUCAUAAAAUGAAGAAAGAAAAAAGAUAGACAAUUCCUACUAUAUGGCAGUUAAUGAUCUCAUGGAUGAAGAUCUUUUGGAAUCUAAUAUGCAAAUAGAUAACUCACAAUGUCUUGAUGUUGGAUGUUUAAGUCAUUCAAUAAUUAUUAAGGAAAAAGUUAUGGAUGUUAAAGGAAAAUGUAGUAAUUCUAUUUCUGAAAAUGGCCACCAUGGCAAAGUUCAAGUACUAGAAGAAGUCACGUCGAUAGACAUAACUCUACUCCCAACAAAGGAAAAUCAACAAUAGAUUUUCCAAAAUUUAACGGUGAAGAUUACCUUCAUUGGAAGAAUUAAAUAAAACUGUUUAUUUAAGGAAAUGAUCAUGAAGUCUAGAGGAUAAUUAAAGAUGGAUCAUGCAAGUUGAUCAGAGAAUUAAAUGAAUGGGAUGGAAGUCACUUAAACAAGCUGGAACUUGAUGCCAAAGCUGUCCAUAUUCUCUUUUUUACACCUGAAGGCAGUGAAUACGGCAAAGUCUCUUCAUGUAACAGUGUCAAAGAAAUAUGGGAAAGACUAGAAGAAUUAUAUGAAUAAAAAGAGCUAGACGAAAAUAAUAGUUCAACAAGAAAUAAUAAGUUAAGAAAGUUUUAACCCUCACAACAAGAUGAUGAAGCAAGCUUUUCAUUCUUAAAUUAGGAAGGGAAGGUAAGAUUCUUAUCCAAUGGAAUGUUUAAAUAUGCUUAUGAAGAAUUUGAGGAGGCUUUUAAAAUAUUAACUCAUAGUUAUGAGAAAAUGAAGUUAGAAAAUGAAGAAAAUACUUUAAAUCAUAAUGUUAAAAAUGAUUUUUUAAGAAAUGCAAAAUUUAAAUUAGAAAAGGAAAAUAAGAGAUUGAAAAUGGAUUUUAAAAUAUGUGAAAAGAAUCUUAAUGAUGUAAGAAAUGAGAAUGAAAAGUAAAGAAAUGCCUUUGAAAAUUACAAAAAGAAAAUUGAUUGGAUAAGUUUCAAAAGUAAAGCCUUGAUUAUUGAUCAUCUUUUAUUGUUGUAACUAACAAAAGGAUCCAAAGAAAAUUGGAUACCAAAAAUCAAGUGAAAACAUGUUUUGCAGGCAAAUCAAAGCUAGAAAGAAUAAAUUUCUGAAAGUUCAAGCUCUUAUUGCGAUCUAGUGAACUCUGAAUCAAAAACUACUAGUUUAUAAAACAUGAGUCUUAUUUGAUUGAUUUUAUGUUGCUUCAAAUAAAUUAGUUUUUUUAUUAUUCUUUUAUGUGAAAACUUGAUUGAAUGCUCGGAGAUGAUAUUAGUCACAUUUUCAUUUCAUGCAUAAACAUCACCUAAAGCUAGAGAAAAUUGCAAGUGGAAUUUAAUUUCUUUCUUGGAAAGCAUCAUAUAUCAGAUUGAAGUUAAAAUCCUCUAUUUUCUAAAAGGUUGUCAAAACUUCAGAGUUCAAAAGACGUCUCUUCAAAUUCUAGAGACACAACCGUUGCAAUCUUAAUCAAAAGUGACAGUUUUGGAAAUGGAAAGGUUGAAACUUUUCAACUCAAUACGUCCUUUUACAGAUUUAUGUAAGGAUUUCACUCAAACCCUUCAAAGCACAAAACACAUAGAAUCAAUCACUCAUCUUCAAAACCUUAGAGUUAAAUCAUAUUUUCUCACAAUGGCACCAAAAAUGCUACAAGAAAAUAUAGAAAAAAACCCUGGUUCAUUAUCCAAGAUGUUGAAAAGUAAAAAAAAUAACUCUCUAGACUGACACUUCUCAUCAGUAAUCAAAAUAAAAGCAUUUGAUGAAGUUUAUGUUUCGAAAAAGGUACGUCAUGGUCGAAUGUUUAUUUUGAUUCAUUUGAAGAAGAAUUUAAAUUGCCAUAAAUUGAGAACUUAAGAGAAAUGGGUUGGUAAUACUUUCUAAGUUUAAAGAAAGGAGUUUAUGAAAACCUUGUCAGAAAUUUCUACUCAAAUGGAAUAACAAUUUUUGUGAGAGAAAAAGACAAGAGUCCAAUUGAUCAUGAUGAUUCCUUUGUCAUUUCUCUUGUUGAUGGUAGUUACAACAUAACUCCUACACUGCUUCAAAGACAUUUAAAAUUGGAACUCAUAAAUGAGAAUUCACUAGUAAUUUUAGGAGAAGGAAAUGACAUUUUUGAAGAAAAGUUAACUGUUGAAUUUCUAGUUGGACCAAUCACCAUUGAGUCUUCCAACAACACUUUUAAAUUGAGUAUUCAUGAUAUAAUUCUACACUUUAUUGUUGUUCACAACAUCAGAACUCCAGGAGCUAAACAUGGAAUUGUGACAACUGAAGAGAUGUGGUUAUGCACCACAUUAAAAAAAGAACACCAAUUAAUCUUGCCCAAAUCAUAUUCAAAGACAUGAAAACAUUGAUUAGAGUAGCAAAAAAUAACCUAGGUUAUGGAAUGGCAAUCUCAAAGCUCAUUAUCAAGUUGACAAUUGACACUUAUGAUGAUAUAACCAAAAGGUAGAAGAAAAGUAAAAUUUUGAGCAAGAAUACUCUUGGGAAAAUGGAAUAUGAGUACAACAUUGAUUUAAACAGUUGGGUUCAAAAGAAAACAGAAUAAAGCUCUAACUCUAACCAACCAAUCGAACCAUAAUCGUGUUAACUUACAUUGCAUUUACAUCACAUUGCAUGUGAAACAUUUUGUUAACAAACUUGGUUAAGUACAUAUGUUUAUUAUUUGUUUUAAUGCUUUAUACUCAUUUUAGAAUUUACUAAAAUAACUCUUUUGAUUAUUCACUUCUGCAACAAUAUUUUUUUAUAUGCAUACUUGUGCUACUAAUGCUUCAUUUUUCCUUAUGGCUUUUAUUGUGAUACUUUAUUUCCAAUUCAUUUUUCAUAUAACAAAAAGGGAGAGAAUAUUUUGAGUAAAUUUGCUAUGCUUAUUGGUUUUUCACUACUAGAUUUUCUUUAUAAUGUUUACAAUUCUUUUUAUGUAAUCACAAUUUCAGAUGGAGAGUUCUUCAAACUUUUAAUGCACAAAUUUAGAGGGAGUUUUUCAAAUGAGCAAAUUUAAUUCUUAAUUCUGUCAAAUCAAAAAGAGGGAGAUUGUUAUCUUUAUUCUAAUUUUGAAAUGACAAAAUUGAUUUACUUGAAGGAGAUCAAAAAAGUUUUCAAAGGUGAAGAAAAUCCUCAAAGAGUUUUGAAGUUGUUUUUAAAUUGAAAGAUUUAAAUCUUCAAACUCUAAAUUUCGACUUGUAAGAAUUGACCUUUAAAAAGUGAAGAAUCGAUUCUCAGCUGUAUAGAAAACAAAAUCUCUUUUUCUAUUAUAGGAAAAAUCGAUUCUCAAAAAAGUACAUGUCGAUUUUGAAGAAAUAGAAGCCACUAGCCAAAGUGAGAAUCAACACCAAGAGUUAUUUGUAGUUUGUAUUUCUGUAUUGGCACCAAACACACUAUUAACUCUAGUAUAUGGACUUAUUUUGACACAUUUUGAGGACUUAAGUAGCUAGGUGUUUGAGAUUUUAAAUUCGAAUUUUAAUAUUUUAAGUGUUUUUCUUAGUUAAGUUUGAUUAUAUGUUGAUUAGUUUAAAUGAAGUUAUUUUAGUUUAAUUUUAUGUUAUUUUGUGUUAAAUUACUUUAAAAAUUUUUAUUUCUGAUUUCUUUUUUUGUUUUUGUAGGAAAUUUGAUGAGAAAGGUUCAUUUGAUGAAAAACCGCACACAUGUGGUGAAGGCUUUAUUUGUACAUGCUACAGUAUUUUGAGGGUAAAUUGAGCUAUAGAAGUCCAAUUGAUGUGAUUCUUGAUCCAUUGAAAAUCUAAGAGACAGGGGUACAACUUUCAUUUCAAUCACUUUGCCUAGUUUGGAUCAGAUUGAUGCAAAAAAUUGCAUUGAAAUAUGCUAGACUAUUGUAGUUCAGCACAAGGCAGUACAUGGAAUGAAGGCCGCGACCUUGAGUUGCUCAAGGGUGCAAUGCCAAGGAGGACAAGGCUGCAGUGCUGAGGAGAGUGUGGCUGCAGUGCUAGUUGAAUAUGCAUCCUCGUAGUGCCACUUGAGAGCACACAGGCGCAGCACUACAAGAAAGGCUACGGCACCAAUAAAGGUAGCACUGUGGCACCACACAGCUUUCCAAAAAUAAACUAUUUUGUUAGAUUUUGAUAAUUAAGGCUUUUGGAGGCUAUUUAGAGAAUUUUUUUUAAAGAGUUUCAAGAGAAUACAGCAAGAAAUAAGAAAACAAGAGAAUUUGAGAGAGAUUUGAGAUCACAAAGUUUCAAUAAUUAGUUUCUUUCUCUAUUUUUG